rnacentral:rRNA from 1 species
UAACGCGUGGGCAACCUGCCUUACACAGGGGGAUAACAGUUAGAAAUGACUGCUAAUACCGCAUAAGACCACAUUGCCGCAUGGCAGGGUGGUAAAAACUCCGGUGGUGUAAGAUGGGCCCGCGUCUGAUUAGGUAGUUGGCAGGGUAGAGGCCUACCAAGCCUACGAUCAGUAGCCGGCCUGAGAGGGUGGACGGCCACAUUGGGACUGAGACACGGCCCAAACUCCUACGGGAGGCAGCAGUGGGGAAUAUUGCACAAUGGGGGAAACCCUGAUGCAGCGACGCCGCGUGAGUGAGGAAGUAUUUCGGUAUGUAAGGCUCUAUCAGCAGGGAAGAAAAUGACGGUACCUGACUAAGAAGCCCCGGCUAACUACGUGCCAGCAGCCGCGGUAAUACGUAGGGGGCAAGCGUUAUCCGGAUUUACUGGGUGUAAAGGGAGCGUAGACGGAGGAGCAAGUCUGAUGUGAAAAUCCGGGGCCCAACCCCGGAACUGCAUUGGAAACUGUUUAUCUAGAGUGUCGGAGAGGCAAGUGGAAUUCCUAGUGUAGCGGUGAAAUGCGUAGAUAUUAGGAGGAACACCAGUGGCGAAGGCGGCUUGCUGGACGAUGACUGACGUUGAGGCUCGAAAGCGUGGGGAGCAAACAGGAUUAGAUACCCUGGUAGUCCACGCCGUANACGAUGACUACUANGUGU